rnacentral:rRNA from 1 species
AGUGAACGCUGGCGGUAGGCCUAACACAUGCCAGUCGAACGGCAGCACAGUAAGAGCUUGCUCUUACGGGUGGCGAGUGGCGGACGGGUGAGGAAUACAUCGGAAUCUACUUUUUCGUGGGGGAUAACGUAGGGAAACUUACGCUAAUACCGCAUACGACCUACGGGUGAAAGCAGGGGAUCUUCGGACCUUGCGCGAUUGAAUGAGCCGAUGUCGGAUUAGCUAGUUGGCGGGGUAAAGGCCCACCAAGGCGACGAUCCGUAGCUGGUCUGAGAGGAUGAUCAGCCACACUGGAACUGAGACACGGUCCAGACUCCUACGGGAGGCAGCAGUGGGGAAUAUUGGACAAUGGGCGCAAGCCUGAUCCAGCCAUACCGCGUGGGUGAAGAAGGCCUUCGGGUUGUAAAGCCCUUUUGUUGGGAAAGAAAAGCAGCAGGUUAAUACCCCGCUGUUCUGACGGUACCCAAAGAAUAAGCACCGGCUAACUGCGU